GAUGAACGCUAGCUACAGGCUUAACACAUGCAAGUCGAGGGGAAACGACAUCGAAAGCUUGCUUUUGAUGGGCGUCGACCGGCGCACGGGUGAGUAACGCGUAUCCAACCUGCCCACCACUUGGGGAUAACCUUGCGAAAGUAAGACUAAUACCCAAUGACGUCUCUAGAAGACAUCUGAAAGAGAUUAAAGAUUUAUCGGUGAUGGAUGGGGAUGCGUCUGAUUAGCUUGUUGGCGGGGUAACGGCCCACCAAGGCGACGAUCAGUAGGGGUUCUGAGAGGAAGGUCCCCCACAUUGGAACUGAGACACGGUCCAAACUCCUACGGGAGGCAGCAGUGAGGAAUAUUGGUCAAUGGGCGGAAGCCUGAACCAGCCAAGUAGCGUGCAGGAAGACGGCCCUAUGGGUUGUAAACUGCUUUUAUAAGGGAAUAAAGUGAGUCUCGUGAGACUUUUUGCAUGUACCUUAUGAAUAAGGACCGGCUAGUUCCGUG
rnacentral:rRNA from 1 species